UGUAAAACCUUCAUUUAUUAAGACACCAACAUUUAUUGUGCAUCUCUCUCUCUCUCUCUCUCUCUCUCUCCGUAAUAAAAACUCAGAAACAAAUGAAAAUUCACAUAUAGAAUAUCAGAAUGACUUUUUUUCUAUUCUGUGUAGCAACAAAUCAAAAUCAAAUACACUGGAUUUUAUUUGGAAAAGGAUAAACUUUCAGUAUUUAUAUCUGUUCUCUAACGCAGCACUUCUAUAUCUGUUCUCUUUAUCCUUUGCCUCCACCACUCCUUCUAGUCCACUGGAAGAGCUAAACCAUCUCCAUUCUGACAAGGGUGGAUAUUAUUAUUAUUAUUAGACAUAUUUAUUAAAUAGCUUUUCUCUCCAUUGGGUGAUUGAAGCAAUAUACAGAAAUCAGAUAAAAGUAGCAGUAACAUAAAAUACACCACAAUACACUGAAAUCAAACACAAUCACAAUAGGUUAACAAGAGAAGACAGAAUAUUCAUCACAAUAAAAUCUGAAGGCAUCAUUUAAGAACAUUAAAAAAGGUAAUGGAACAAUAUAGUCUAUGCCAGCUGCCAAACGUAUAAUAAAGAGGAAGCUAACCUGAUUUGUCUCCCUAUUGUCUUAUUAUAGACUUGCAAUAAUAAACCCAGAGCUGGGGAUGGGAGAGGCAGGGAAUAUCAGCAGCUAUCCAGAAUGCCAGUGAAUGGAACUGUUCAUAGAAGAAAACUCACACACCCUACUCCAGUACAUAAAAUGCGUGAAGGAGCAUUAAGCAUCUUUCAUGGGCAUCUUUGUGAAGAGCUGAAGGCAGAUCUACCUGACAUUUUCAACCUAUCAAGAAUAACGAAAAUGUAAUUAUCGAUGUUAAUCAGGAUUUGCUUGGCAAAUACAUGCUAACAUUAUGGAACCAUAUGUGUCUCAUGCAUAAUCAUAUACAGGAUUGGCCUUUGAAAGAUCUUGGUGGGAUUAAAUACAACAACAGGAGGUAAAUGGCUAGAUUUUUUUUGUAACCUGAUGCAUUUUCCAUUUAUUGCCAAUUCUUGUUAUAUCAUGUUUGUAUCGCUGCUAUAAAGCAUGAAGACAUGCUUUAUAGCAGCGAUAUGAAAACAUGCGCCACUGAGUUGGAAUGAAUUUGCUGCAGCUACGUCAGAAUCUUAAUGUUCCAUCUCUUUUCAAGUUACCCACCAUAGUAUUAAAUCUCCAUGUUUCCAGUCUCAAACUUCAUUAAACUUUGGAUAACUGUUUUACUGCUUAAAGUGGUUUAAGUAUUCUUCUUCAGUAUGGUGGUUCCAAAGAUGAAUCAAAUGACAAUUGUAAUUGUAAUAAAGUUUCAUCUGGUCUUCAAAACUUUCAUCCAAUCCAUUGGUCAGCUUGUGGAAUAAUACGUUUUUCAUCAUACAGAGAUAAUUGCCAUCUUGAAAUUUUUAUCCCAUCCCAGCCUAUGGAGACCCUGAUAGUCACAGUCAUCUUAUGGGAUCUAGGAAGAAUGUCUUCUCCGUGAUGCUCUUCUCUUGAGGAAUGAUCUUCUCCAGAGAUUGGUUCCAGUCCUCUGACAUUCUGCAAACUACUAAAGCCCUAAUUCCUAGACCUUGAGUUAAGAUAGUGGUUGAGCCCUUUUGGUUUGUUUUGGUUCUAUCUGUUGUCCCUCUCCCCCCCAUAUAUUCUUUAGUUUAUUUUUAUCUGUAAGCUGCUCAGAAUCACUUUGGAUUGGGUGGCCUUGAAACUGAAAUAAUAAAUCCAAUUUAAAAUAGCUAAAUUUUGAACUCUUUAGUUUUGAACUCUUUGGUUUACCAUACAAUCUUCCUUGGGGGCCAUAACCAAAUUUGAUUGUUUAACAUCUUUAGGUAAAUCAAUGUACCCAUAGCAAAUGAUGGAUCAAAAAACCAUUGUAUUAUUAUAUUUUUUCAUGAUUGGAUUAAUGGUAGGGCAUUGAAAUGGAAACAAAAUCUUUAGUAUUUGUACUAGUAUUUAUAUAAAGAAAAAUAUUUACUUAAAGAUCCUAAGGGAACACUUGUAUUUGUGCUGUGUUGUCUAAUUCUGGCAGAUCCAAAAGAGACAGAACAGAUUAAAAAGAGAAAGCUGCAUUAAUUAAAAUGAGGUAACUAUUAUUUAUCCUAUUUAUCAAAUAAUAUAAUAUAAUUUAUUUAUAAGCCACCUUUGAAGUACAGUGGAGGAGGGCUUAAUACUUGAAUAAUAUCAAUUAAUCAAUGAUUUCUAUUCUGAUUUGACUGGUGGGGGAAGCAUAAAGCUUACUUAAUUCAUUUAUUGCUCAUACCCCAGGAAUAAUGAUAGCAUUGUCUUUUCCAAUUUUAUCUUAGGCUGUUUGUAACAUUUUAUUAGAUUAUAGAAUGAAAAACAAAAAUACAAGAGCAAAUAUUAUCUUAUAAUAAAAAUAGGUUCAGAUAAAAGGCCCAAAGUUAUUGUCAGCCCCAUUAGGUAGACCAGACCAGAAAAUAAAAUCUACAGGGAGGCUAAAACUACUUUUACAGAGAGUGGCUAUAAUAAUUGAAUCCCAUG